GACGAACGCUGGCGGCGUGCUUAACACAUGCAAGUCGAACGAAGUGGCGAACGGGUGAGUAACGCGUAAUCAACCUGCCCUUCAGGGGGGGACAACAGUUGGAAACGACUGCUAAUACCGCAUACUGAAGGAGGGGAUUGCGUCUGAUUAGCUAGUUGGAGGGGUAACGGCCCACCAAGGCGAUGAUCAGUAGCCGGUCUUAUAGGAUGAACGGCCACAUUGGGACCGGAACAAGGCCCAGACUCCUACGGGAGGCAGCAGUGGGGAAUAUUCCGCAAUGGACGAAAGUCUGACUGCGCAACGCCGCGGGAGUGAUGACGGCCUUCGGGUUGGAAAGCUCUGUUAAUCGGGACGCGGUACCGGAAUAGAAAGCCACGGCUAACUACGUGCCAGCAGCCGCGGUAAUAC
rnacentral:rRNA from 1 species